rnacentral:misc_RNA from 1 species
CUCAGAGGCAUACACGAAUAUGCCUUACCAACAAGGGUCGUGAUGGAGUGAUAAAUACCCCUUUACUACCAAUCAAAGGUGUCGAAUUCGAGCUCUGUUAUGUACAGAGUGCGGGAAUCUGUAUUUAGUCAGGCCUCAAUGCGGUACAGGACACCAAAAAAACAAACAAUACAAGAUGGUGUCUUGAAUAGACAGUGAAUAAACUGGUCCUGGCAAAGAGCAGGAUCAGAUUAAUUUUGAAUUUUCAACCAUUUUGGAGAAUCGCCAUCCCUGUGCAAGCAAGAAAAAAGAAAUUGCACGCUCCCUACGCAGGAAUUAUCCCGUUCAGG